rnacentral:lncRNA from 1 species
CAUUGCUCUUGCAUACAAAACCAAGCUGUUAUGAGACUCGAUAGAGGUCACAAACGAUGCUUUUAAUGGUUUGUCCUUCGGAUUGAUCAUACACAAUCCGGAAAAGCCGCGAAUUGAUCAAACACAAGUAGGAAAAAGGCUUCGGAUUGAUCAAACACAAUCCGGUGAAAGGUCGGGGUUGAUCAAACACAACCCGGACAAAGAAACAAGAGUGAUCAAACACACUCUUGACCCGCGAAUAAAAUUCCGGGAUUUGGGUACCUACACGCACAAAAUCCCAAGCAUAGAAUGGAGAUGGAGAAAGGAGGAAAGGAUUUUAUCCUCCCCGAGUUAUUAAACUUGGAAAAGUUUAAGGUUUCAAAAAACAUACCUUUCUAGAGGCUGCCGAGAGGAGAAAUAACGUUUCAUCUACUUAUACUUCGAAUUUGGGGCUGAAAAUUUGAUAGGAGGAGCAACUCUGGAUGGGAAAGCUGCUAUCAAAAUUUCAGGUUGAUCGGAGCAAGGGAAGGUGGUGAACCGGUGGUCGGUAGCGACAGCGGUCUGGAAUCUUCCGGUGGCCGGUUCGGAGACUUUCCGGCCGGUUCUCAGGGUGAGACCGGCGGCGUUGGAUCCGGGGCGGAGAUAGCUUUCUGGGGAUAUAAAAUUCCGGCGGAGGGCAGUCGGAAUUUUGGUCGGAAAUCGGGAAAAACAAGGCUGCCCGAUUUUAGGGUUUUGGUUUUAGGGUUUAAGAAAAAAAAAUGGUGGGCUAUUGGCUCUAGGGUUAGAACAAAGUGCAUGAUAACGUGAUAAAUGAUAAAGUGUAGAGACAAAGAGAUAGCAAGAGAGUCAUCAUCUUAUUCAUUGAUAGGAGCCCUUUAUAUAGGGAAUUACACAAUACCAAUAUGGUAAGGAUAUGAAUACAUAGAUCUAGUCUAACUACAUAUCCUAUUGACAUAAGGCCAAGGCACACAGUAGAGAAUAUCCUAGAACAUUUUAAAAUUUAUUGCCUCUAAUAAAAUACUUUUCUAACAUUACAGCCCCUAGUAAAUUCAAUUUUAAG